UACGGGGGGGCAAGCGUUGUUCGGAAUUACUGGGCGUAAAGGGCUUGUAGGUGGCCAACUAAGUCAGACGUGAAAAUCCCCGUCGGCUUAACCGGGGGAACUGCGUUCUAGAUACUGGAUGGCUUGAGUGGUGGGAGAGGGAUGCGGAAUUCCAGGAUGUAGCGGUGAAAUGCGUAGAUAUCUGGAGGAACACCGGUGGCGAAGGCGGCAUCCUGGACCAUUACUGACACUGAAAAGCGAAAGGCCAAGGGGAGCAAACGGG
rnacentral:rRNA from 1 species